rnacentral:rRNA from 1 species
GAUGAACGCUAGCUACAGGCUUAACACAUGCAAGUCGAGGGGCAGCGGGGAUCUAGCUUGCUAGAUUUGCCGGCGACCGGCGCACGGGUGAGUAACACGUAUCCAACCUGGCCCAUACUCGGGUAUAGCCUCUCGAAAGGGAGAUUAAUCCCCGAUGUUGUUGUUUCACCGCAUGGUGUUGCAACCAAAGAAUUUCGGUAUGGGAUGGGGAUGCGUUCCAUUAGCUUGUUGGCGGGGUAACGGCCCACCAAGGCGACGAUGGAUAGGGGUUCUGAGAGGAAGGUCCCCCACACUGGAACUGAGACACGGUCCAGACUCCUACGGGAGGCAGCAGUGAGGAAUAUUGGUCAAUGGGCGAGAGCCUGAACCAGCCAAGUAGCGUGAAGGAUGACUGCCCUACGGGUUGUAAACUUCUUUUGUUUGGGAAUAAAGUUCAGCACGUGUGCUGUUUUGUAUGUACCAUUCGAAUAAGCAUCGGCUAAUUCCGUGCCAGCCGCCGCCGUAAGAC